AUUGAACGCUGGCGGCAGGCCUAACACAUGCAAGUCGAACGGUAACAGGAAGAAGCUUGCUUCUUUGCUGACGAGUGGCGGACGGGUGAGUAAUGUCUGGGAAACUGCCUGAUGGAGGGGGAUAACUACUGGAAACGGUAGCUAAUACCGCAUAACGUCGCAAGACCAAAGAGGGGGACCUUCGGGCCUCUUGCCAUCGGAUGUGCCCAGAUGGGAUUAGCUAGUAGGUGGGGUUACGGCUCACCUAGGCGACGAUCCCUAGCUGGUCUGAGAGGAUGACCAGCGACACUGGAACUGAGACACGGUCCAGACUCCUACGGGAGGCAGCAGUGGGGAAUAUUGCACAAUGGGCGCAAGCCUGAUGCAGCCAUGCCGCGUGUAUGAAGAAGGCCUUCGGGUUGUAAAGUACUUUCAGCGGGGAGGAAGGGAGUAAAGUUAAUACCUUUGCUCAUUGACGUUACCCGCAGAAGAAGCACCGGCUAACUCCGUG
rnacentral:rRNA from 1 species